rnacentral:rRNA from 1 species
AGUGAGCGCUGGCGGCAGGCCUAACACAUGCAAGUCGAACGGCAGCACAAGAGAGCUUGCUCUCUGGGUGGCGAGUGGCGGACGGGUGAGGAAUGCAUCGGAAUCUGCCCAUUUGUGGGGGAUAACCUCGGGAAACCGGGACUAAUACCGCAUACGGCCUACUGGUGAAAGCAGGGGAUCUUCGGACCUUGCGCAGAUGGAUGAGCCGAUGCCGGAUUAGCUAGUUGGAGGGGUAAGGGCCCACCAAGGCGACGAUCCGUAGCUGGUCUGAGAGGAGGAUCGGCCACCCUGGGACUGAGACACGGCCCUGACUCCUACGGGAGGCAGCAGUGUGGAAUAUUGGACAAUGGGCGCAAGCCUGAUCCAGCCAUGCCGCGUGUGUGAAGAAGGCCUUCGGGUUGUAAAGCACUUUUGUUGGGAAAGAAAAGCAGCCGGUUAAUACCCGGUUGUCAUGACGGUACCCAAAGAAUAAGCACCGGCUAACUUCGUG